AGCAGCCGCGGUAAUUCCAGCUCCAAUAGCGUAUAUUAAAGUUGUUGCAGUUAAAAAGCUCGUAGUUGAAUUUCGGGACCAAUUUGUUGGUCGUGCCUCGGUACGUACUGGUAUUAUUGGUUUCUCCCUUCUGAAGAACCAUGAUGCCAUUAAUUUGGUGUCGUGGGGAAUCAGGACUGUUACUUUGAAAAAAUUAGAGUGCUUAAAGCAGGCAUACGCUUGAAUACAUUAGCAUGGAAUAAUGAAAUAGGACGUUUGAUUCUAUUUUGUUGGUUUCUAGGAUCGACGUAAUGAUUAAUAGGGAUAGUUGGGGGCAUUAGUAUUCAAUUGUCAGAGGUGAAAUUCUUGGAUUUAUUGAAGACUAACUACUGCGAAAGCAUUUGCCAAGGAUGUUUUCAUUAAUCAAGAACGAAAGUUAGGGGAUCGAAGACGAUCAGAUACCGUCGUAGU
rnacentral:rRNA from 1 species